AGGGUUCGAUUCUGGCUCAGGAUGAACGCUGGCGGCGUGCUUAACACAUGCAAGUCGAACGAAGCGCUUUGGCGGAAGUUUUCGGAUGGAAGCAAAAGUGACUGAGUGGCGGACGGGUGAGUAACGCGUGGGUAACCUGCCCUGUACAGGGGGAUAACAGUUAGAAAUGACUGCUAAUACCGCAUGAGCGCACAGUACCGCAUGGUACGGUGUGAAAAACUCCGGUGGUACAGGAUGGGCCCGCGUCUGAUUAGCUGGUUGGCGGGGUAACGGCCCACCAAGGCGACGAUCAGUAGCCGGCCUGAGAGGGUGGACGGCCACAUUGGGACUGAGACACGGCCCAA
rnacentral:rRNA from 1 species